rnacentral:lncRNA from 1 species
UUGAUUUUUGGUUCUUGUAAAGGUGUUUUUGGGUUUUUUUUUUGUUUUGCUUUGUUUUUUCCUCUGUAGAUAGUUGUUAAACGGGUGUUCUUCGGUGGUGGUGGCGGGAUGAUCAUUGGAGACUUCUUUUCCACCACCUUGCUCCUCCUCUGAAGUGGUAUUUAUAUUGAUAUUACUAAACUUGUUACAGGUAGUUAGACAGGCAUGAGCGGGACAGAAGAGGGCUCUCCCCCACCCACCAUGAAUGUCAGGUGAUGGUUUGACAAUGAUCGCAUUGCCCCUCUAAAAGUGAUAAAUUGAGAGCCUGCUCUAGGGAAAAGCCAUUUCCUGAUGGUCCACACCUGUAGCACUUAAGUGCUAAUUGAAUGCAGACACCAGGGAGAACCAACUUCCUGGCCAUACACAUUAAGAGACAAAAAGACAGAGUAUGACCUUCCAGAGCACACCACUGAAAAAGUACUUCAUCUCUUCUCUGGCCACUGCUGUCCUGAGAUUUCCUGUCA